rnacentral:rRNA from 1 species
GAUGAACGCUGGCGGCGUGCCUAAUACAUGCAAGUCGAGCGAACAGACGAGGAGCUUGCUCCUCUGACGUUAGCGGCGGACGGGUGAGUAACACGUGGAUAACCUACCUAUAAGACUGGGAUAACUUCGGGAAACCGGAGCUAAUACCGGAUAAUAUAUUGAACCGCAUGGUUCAAUAGUGAAAGACGGUUUUGCUGUCACUUAUGGAUGGAUCCGCGCCGCAUUAGCUAGUUGGUAAGGUAACGGCUUACCAAGGCGACGAUGCGUAGCCGACCUGAGAGGGUGAUCGGCCACACUGGAACUGAGACACGGUCCAGACUCCUACGGGAGGCAGCAGUAGGGAAUCUUCCGCAAAGGGCGAAAGCCUGACGGAGCAACGCCGCGUGAGUGAUGAAGGUCUUCGGAUCGUAAAACUCUGUUAUUAGGGAAGAACAAAUGUGUAAGUAACUAUGCACGUCUUGACGGUACCUAAUCAGAAAGCCACGGCUAACUACGUG